UGCUCCAAAGCGCAGAAUCGG
rnacentral:misc_RNA from 1 species